GUUAGGAAUAUUGGACAAUGGGCGCAAGCCUGAUCCAGCCAUGCCGCGUGAACGAUGAAGGCCUUCGGGUUGUAAAGUUCUUUAGCCGAUGAUUAUAAUGACUGUAGUCGGAAAAUAAGCCCCGGCUAACUUCGUGCCAGCAGCCGCGGUAAUACGAAGGGGGCGAGCGUUAUUCGGAAUCACUGGGCGUAAAGCGUGCGUAGGCGGUCUCGUAAGUUAGGAGUGAAAGCACAGGGCUCAACCUUGGAAUUGCUCUUAAAACUGCAAGGCUAGAAUCUCGGAGAGGAUAGCGGAAUUUCCAGUGUAGCAGUGAAAUGCGUAGAUAUUGGAAGGAACACCAGUGGCGUAAGCGGCUAUCUGGACGAGUAUUGACGCUGAGGCACGAAAGCGUGGGGAUCAAACAGGAUUAGAUACUCCUGUAGUCC
rnacentral:rRNA from 1 species